GUGCAGUGAUGAAUCUCUGAACUCUCUCUUACUGAAUCACUUUUGAAGAAACUACUUUACCAGAUUCUGAGUACA
ensembl:snoRNA SNORD26 Small nucleolar RNA SNORD26